CCAUUCAAAAAAUUAUACUUUCCAUCACCAAAUAGCUUGAUUUCAUCCCUUUUAGGCAACCAUUAGUCCAGGAUUGGUAUUACAUAUUCUAUAUAUUUCCAAUUGCAUCCAAUUGCAAGUUUUGGUAGGUUAGGGAUCUCCAUUUUGUUAUUGGUCCGAUCGGUCUGCUCUGAGCUUCUUCAACUGUAAGUGCUCCACUCUUGUUGUUGUAGAAUCUAUUCAAAUCACUACUUGCUUGGGAUUGAGGAGGCAGAGUAGUUAUUGUUGUGUUGAGUCUAUUGAAACGAGGACUGGACUGGAUGGACUGGUUAUGAUUCUCCAAAGUCCGAGCUACUGGUUGAAUGCUUGAGUAAAUGCCUAGUGAACAUUAUGUUCUUGCAUUCACAAGCUAAGUAAAAAAUAAGUUAUCUGUUUUAACGAUAAUCAAGAGAUAAAAAAGAAGAUUAGGCAAAGCUAGAUAUUUGUAAAUGUAAGGGUUGUGUGCUCUUGUUUAAUGUCCACGGUCUCGUCAUGCUCUUGGUUGUGUCUGUUAGAGUGGGUAAAAGUCCACAUUGGUUGGGAAUGGACGGGUGGUCUCUUAUAUGGACUUUGGCAAUUUUUCCCUCAUGAGCUAGCUUUUGGAGCAUGAGUCAGACCUAAGACCUAAUUUAAUAUAGUAUCAGAGCCAAGCCCAUCUCAAUUUGUUGUUCACCGAUGUUGGCCCAUCAGUAGAGGGAUGAGAGAUUGGUCUCUUUAUAUGGACUUAGACAAACCUCCCCCAAUGAACUAGCUUUUGGGGUAACUUUUAUGCUCAUAUCUUAGAUCUUUAAUUAAAUGAAAAACCUCUUUCAUGAACUAAUCCAAAGUUUCUUCUAGGUUAAAUUUCAUUGUGUAUAAUGGGAAGAAACUUCAGCUUCUCUCUUUAUCUAAAGUACAGAAGUUUGAAAGCUGUCUUUCCUCAACAAACAGACAACAGGUAUGAGUAAGAAACUUAAUUUUAUAUAUAUAUAUAUAUAUAUUUCCACCCAAGUUGGAUCAGGUCUCUAUUUGCUAAGUGUUGUGUCAUAUCUGGAAAGUUCCCGGAAAAGGCAUGCAUGGAUUUGCCUAGUUACAUUGGAAAGAAGCACUUGAGACUUAAGUUAGUGAUAAAGUUUCAACAAGGUGGCUUUAAAUAAAUACAGUUUGUUAAAAAGAUUUGCACUAGUGAAUCAAUCGUGUCUACUUUUUAUGUUGCACAUUCUGUUGAUCGAUACUUCAGACAUUUGUUUUGCAGUUUUGUUCUUUAAGUGCAACUCCUUUCUUUGUUUCUUUCCUCAAUGCUGUUUUCAUGCAUUCUCUGGACAAACUUUUCUCUCUUUUGGGGGAGGUGGUUGGGCCAAUAAGAUAUUGAAUAAGAAAGAAAAAUUACAUUGCUUGUACAUUUGAAGGCAUCAGGAAUAAUCAAAUUACUCUUGUACUUGAUUGCUAAGACCUACUACAUUCUAAAGCAAAAUUGUAUAUGUUUUGAGUACAAACACUUGAAAGUUUUCCCAACAUUUCCACCUUUUGUCCUAACUAUUAUAGAGAAGACGACAUUUGGCCAAGUACCGACACACAAUUAUCCCUGGACUCUUUUAGGACCAAAGUAGAGGUUAACAAGGAUAAAAAAGUAUAAUAUGGCUCAUCUUUAAGUCCUAGCUAGUGCCACCCCUAGCCCUUUCCAUACGAAUUAAAUGCCUUCACUAUUCCUGCUAACGUCCUUCUUCAACUGUAAUCGUCACCUGAUUGUUGGAUACGAUGUAUUUCUUAUCGGAGGAAGAAGAAGAUGUACUAGAAGCAUGUGUCCUUAUUACAAAAGCUGGUCUAUUAGGUGUUGGAAGGUUAGUACCUUCCCCUCCCAGCAUUAAAAUGACAUCUGACAUAUUAGGACGAUGAUUUGGAUCUUCUUGUACACACAGGAGUGCAAUAUUUAUGCACUUCAAUGCUUCACUUUUGUUGCAUGAUUCAAGUAGUGACUUCUCUAUUAAUUGUAUCUCAGUUUUUUCUGUCCACAAUUUCCAUGCCUGUGAUAAUUUUUCUAUCAGAGAAACAAAGCUAAGAAGAAGAUAUAAUAAUUAAGUCAUGGGAAGUUUCUUCACUUACAUAGCCCAACAAGUUUAAGGCUUCUUCUGACUGAUAAAAUCCUGUAUUCCUUCUUCCACUGAUUAUCUCAAGUACGACUACUCCAAAACUGAAUACGUCUGAUUUGAUGGAAAACAAUCCAUCUAGUGCAUAUUCAGGAGACAUAUAGCCGCUAGAUUUCAUCAGGUGAACAAAACAUUUGAGUAUAAGAUCUUAUCCAAAGCUCCUUUUGUAAGAAAUUAAUGACAGGAAGAGAUAUAAUACUUACUAGGUCCCCACUACUUUCUUUGUAUUUGCUUCUGUUACUUUUCCUUCAACAAUCCUUGCCAAGCCAAAAUCUGAAAUUUUCGGGUUCAUCUCCUCAUCUAAUAAAAUGUUACUGGUUUUUAAAUCUCUAUGAAUGAUCCUUAGUCGUGAAUCAUGGUGAAGAUAAGAUAGACCCCGUGCAAUGCCCAGUAUGAUGUCAUAACGUUUCUUCCAAUCCAAUAAUUGACAAAGUGUUCCAUCUUGCAUCGUUACCAUGACAAAGUUUGGUACGUCAAUAAAAUUAGAUCAUUAUAAGAAAUGUAUGACUUUGAGAAUAAAGAACUUAACAAGGCUAACUCACCAAAUAUGAAUGUAUCUAAACUUUUAUUCGGCAUAUAUUCAUAAAGUAAUAUUUGUUCCGUUGCAUUGAUGCAAUAACCCAAUAGCCUCACCAGAUUUCGAUGUUGAAGCUUUGCAAUUAGAGUCACUUCAUUCUUAAAUUCAUCUAUGCCUUGUCCUGAUUGACUGGAUAACGUUUUUACUGCAAUUUCUUUUUCGCCCGGAAAGAUACCCUGCAAAAAAAAUUCAUCUCAUUACUAUAGGUCAAUAUGGCCAUGCCAGUCCAUAUAGAUGUAGGAAUGAAGUUUGAACCUUGUAAACAGGACCGAAUCCUCCUUGUCCGAGCUUAUUCGCAUUUGAGAAGUUGUCUGUAGCUUCCAAAAUAGUCUCCAAGUGAAAAUAUGGAACAUCAAUCGCUUCAUCACUGUUUUCAUUCAUUAAUACUUUUGCUUCUCCUUCAGCUUUGUGCCAGUGAGAUUUAUGUGCCCCUUGAAUACCUUUACUUCUAUCUGAUUGAGAAUGACCUUUGAAAGUAAGUUCAAAAUGCUAUAAGAGAAAAUAUCUUUCAGAGUAAGAUUCAUUCAGCAACUACCUGCUCUUUUUGCAAUUCUUCUUUUAUAGUAAAUGUAGCUAAUGCUGCCUAUGAGUAGAAACAUCAAAACUGAUAUUGACGAAAGGAUUGCUUUUAGCUUCAUCGACUUCUUAGCUUUAGUUUGAGCUGAAAGGAGAAUCAUUGUUGUUAAGUGCUAAUGGUUAAUAAGGAAUUCUAUCCAUAACAUAGUACUUAUAUGAAAUAAAGAAUCAAGCUAUGUUAAUAUGCUAUUCUAACCUUCAGGUGAGCCGCGUUUGACAAAUAUUGUCCUUUUUGACUCAGUUGUGCUGAGUUGUUCCAGAUUGAACAGAUCCCCUGUCCAGAUGGAACAGGUACCGGAACCAUCAUAAGUAUAAGCAGUGCAAGAGCAAUCGUUGAAACAUGCAGAUCUACACUGUGAGGCUGUCCCAACUGUGAUAUUAGUAUUAUGAGAAGCAG
rnacentral:lncRNA from 1 species